UUAUUUGUGCAAAGAUAGUUCCAUAGCCAAUGGAGGUUAACUGAGGCAUGGUUACUGCCAGUUGAAGACUAAUAUUAUCUCAUUCUGUUUUAUUUACUUAAUAGGGAAGCAUUUACAAACUGUUCACUGAUUAGU
rfam:Octopus bimaculoides Scaffold11026_contig_200, whole genome shotgun sequence.